ACUCAAAGGAAUUGACGGGGACCCGCACAAGCAGCGGAGCAUGUGGUUCAAUUCGACGCAACGCGAAGAACCUUACCUGGGCUUGACAUGUAGGUGACAGCCGUGGAAACACGGUCUCCCUUCGGGGCACCUUCACAGGUGGUGCAUGGCUGUCGUCAGCUCGUGCCGUGAGGUGUUGGGUUAAGUCCCGCAACGAGCGCAACCCCCGUCUCAUGUUGCCAGCGGGUAAUGCCGGGGACUCAUGAGAGACUGCCGGUGACAAACCGGAGGAAGGUGGGGAUGACGUCAAGUCAUCAUGCCCCUUAUGCUCAGGGCUACACACGUGCUACAUUGGCCAGUACAGAGGGUUGCGAUGCCGUGAGGUGGAGCCAAUCCCAAAAAGCUGGUCUCGGUUCGGAUUGGAGGCUGAAACUCGCCUCCAUGAAGGUGGAGUUGCUAGUAAUCGCGGAUCAGCAACGCCGCGGUGAAUACGUUCCCGGGUCUUGUACACACCGCCCGU
rnacentral:rRNA from 1 species